CCUACGGGAGGCUGCAGUGGGGAAUAUUGGACAAUGGGGGCAACCCUGAUCCAGCCAUGCCGCGUGUGUGAAGAAGGCCCUCGGGUUGUAAAGCACUUUCAGUGAGGAAGAACGCCUGGUGGUUAAUACCCAUCAGGAAAGACAUCACUCACAGAAGAAGCACCGGCUAACUCCGUGCCAGCAGCCGCGGUAAUACGGAGGGUGCGAGCGUUAAUCGGAAUUACUGGGCGUAAAGCGCGCGUAGGUGGCUUGAUAAGCCGGUUGUGAAAGCCCCGGGCUCAACCUGGGAACGGCAUCCGGAACUGUCAAGCUAGAGUGCAGGAGAGGAAGGUAGAAUUCCUGGUGUAGCGGUGAAAUGCGUAGAGAUCGGGAGGAAUACCAGUGGCGAAGGCGGCCUUCUGGACUGACACUGACACUGAGGUGCGAAAGCGUGGGUAGCAAACAGGAUUAGAUACCCGUGUAGUC
rnacentral:rRNA from 1 species